UGAAUCAAUGAUGACCGGAUGUGGUAAAUGAUUCUCGUAUCAUGACUACAGAUCUGGGAGUCUGAGGUUCAC